CCUACGGGAGGCAGCAGUGAGGAAUAUUGGUCAAUGGGCGGAAGCCUGAACCAGCCAAGUAGCGUGCGGGAUGACGGCCCUACGGGUCGUAAACUGCUUUUGCACGGGGAUAACACCAUCCACUUGUGGAUGUCUGCAGGUACCGUGCGAAUAAGGGCCGGCUAAUUCCGUGCCAGCAGCCGCGGUAAUACGGAAGGCCCGAGCGUUAUCCGGAUUUAUUGGGCUUAAAGGGAGCGUAGGCGGGCGUUCAAGUCAGCUGUAAAAUCUUGCGGCUCAACCUCACCCCGCAGUUGAAACAGGACGCCUUGAGUACACAAGAGGCAGGCGGAAUUCGUGGUGUAGCGGUGAAAUGCAUAGAUAUCACGAGGAACCCCGAUUGCGAAGGCAGCCUGCCGGGGUGCGACUGACGUUGAGGCUCGAAGGUGCGGGUAUCAAACAGGAUUAGAUACCCCGGUAGUC
rnacentral:rRNA from 1 species